rnacentral:rRNA from 1 species
CGAACUUCUUUAUCACCGAGUGCUUGCACUCACCGAUAAAGAGUUGAGUGGCGAACGGGUGAGUAACACGUGGGCAACCUGCCCAAAAGAGGGGGAUAACACUUGGAAACAGGUGCUAAUACCGCAUAACCAUAGUUACCGCAUGGUAACUAUGUAAAAGGUGGCUAUGCUACCGCUUUUGGAUGGGCCCGCGGCGCAUUAGCUAGUUGGUGGGGUAAAGGCUUACCAAGGCAAUGAUGCGUAGCCGAACUGAGAGGUUGAUCGGCCACAUUGGGACUGAGACACGGCCCAAACUCCUACGGGAGGCAGCAGUAGGGAAUCUUCCACAAUGGGCGAAAGCCUGAUGGAGCAACGCCGCGUGGGUGAAGAAGGUCUUCGGAUCGUAAAACCCUGUUGUUAGAGAAGAAAGUGCGUGAGAGUAACUGUUCACGUUUCGACGGUAUCUAACCAGAAAGCCACGGCUAACUACGUGCCAGCAGCCGCGGUAAUACGUAGGUGGCAAGCGUUAUCCGGAUUUAUUGGGCGUAAAGGGAACGCAGGCGGUCUUUUAAGUCUGAUGUGAAAGCCUUCGGCUUAACCGGAGUAGUGCAUUGGAAACUGGGAGACUUGAGUGCAGAAGAGGAGAGUGGAACUCCAUGUGUAGCGGUGAAAUGCGUAGAUAUAUGGAAGAACACCAGUGGCGAAAGCGGCUCUCUGGUCUGUAACUGACGCUGAGGUUCGAAAGCGUGGGUAGC